GUAGGUGGCAAGCGUUGUCCGGAAUUAUUGGGCGUAAAGCGCGCGCAGGCGGUUCUUUAAGUCUGAUGUGAAAGCCCACGGCUCAACCGUGGAGGGUCAUUGGAAACUGGAGAACUUGAGUACAGAAGAGGAAAGCGGAAUUCCACGUGUAGCGGUGAAAUGCGUAGAGAUGUGGAGGAACACCAGUGGCGAAGGCGGCUUUCUGGUCUGUAACUGACGCUGAGGCGCGAAAGCGUGGGGAGCAAACAGGAUUAGAUACCCCGGUAGUCCACGCCGUAAACGAUGAGUGCUAAGUGUUAGGGGGUUUCCGCCCCCUUAGUGCUGCAGCUAACGCAUUAAGCACUCCGCCUGGGGAGUACGGCCGCAAGGCUG
rnacentral:rRNA from 1 species